rnacentral:rRNA from 1 species
AGCAGCCGCGGUAAUUCCAGCUCCAAUAGCGUAUAUUAAAGUUGUUGCAGUUAAAAAGCUCGUAGUUGAAUUUCGGGAUCAAUUUGUUGGUCGUGCCUCGGUACGUACUGGCAUUAUUGGUUUCUACCUUCUGAAGAACCUUGAUGUCAUUAAUUUGGUGUCUUGGGGAAUCAGGACUGUUACUUUGAAAAAUUAGAGUGUUUAAAGCAGGCAUACGCUUGAAUACAUUAGCAUGGAAUAAUGAAAUAGGACGUUUGAUUCUAUUUUGUUGGUUUCUAGGAUCGACGUAAUGAUUAAUAGGGAUAGUUGGGGGCAUUAGUAUUCAAUUGUCAGAGGUGAAAUUCUUGGAUUUAUUGAAGACUAACUACUGCGAAAGCAUUUGCCAAGGAUGUUUUCAUUAAUACAAGAACGAAAGUUAGGGGAUCGAAGACGAUCGGAUACCGUCGUAGUCUUAACCAUAAACUAUGACCGACUAGGGAUCGGAUGAUGUUAUUUUAAUGACUCAUUCGGCGCCUUAC